AUUGAACGCUGGCGGCAUGCCUUACACAUGCAAGUCGAACGGCAGCACGGGAGCAAUCCUGGUGGCGAGUGGCGAACGGGUGAGUAAUAUAUCGGAACGUGCCCAGUCGUGGGGGAUAACGUAGCGAAAGCUACGCUAAUACCGCAUACGAUCUAUGGAUGAAAGCGGGGGAUCGCAAGACCUCGCGCGAUUGGAGCGGCCGAUAUCAGAUUAGGUAGUUGGUGAGGUAAAGGCUCACCAAGCCGACGAUCUGUAGCUGGUCUGAGAGGACGACCAGCCACACUGGGACUGAGACACGGCCCAGACUCCUACGGAGGCAGCAGUGGGGAAUUUUUGGGACAAUGGGCGGCAAGCCUGAUCCAGCAAUGCCGCGUGCAGGAUGAAGGCCUCGGUUGGUAACGUA
rnacentral:rRNA from 1 species